GAAUGUAGUUCAGUGGUAGAGUACAUGUUUAGCAUGCAUGAGGCCCUGGGUUCAAUCCUCAGCAACA
rnacentral:tRNA from 1 species